AACGAACGCUGGCGGCAUGCCUAACACAUGCAAGUCGAACGAGACCUUCGGGUUUAGUGGCGCACGGGUGCGUAACGCGUGGGAACCUGCCCUUAGGUUCGGAAUAACUCCCCGAAAGGGGUGCUAAUACCGGAUAAUGUCUUCGGACCAAAGAUUUAUCGCCUUUGGAUGGGCCCGCGUUGGAUUAGCUAGUUGGUAGGGUAAAAGCCUACCAAGGCGACGAUCCAUAGCUGGUCUGAGAGGAUGAGCAGCCACACUGGGACUGGGACACGGCCCAGACUCCUACGGGAGGCAGCAGUGGGGAAUAUUGGACAAUGGGCGAAAGCCUGAACCAGCAAUGCCGCGUGAGUGAUGAAGGCCUUAGGGUUGUAAAGCUCUUUUACCCGGGAUGAUAAUGACAGUACCGGGAGAAUAAGCUCCGGCUAACUCCGUG
rnacentral:rRNA from 1 species